rnacentral:lncRNA from 1 species
GACACUACAAGUUUGAUCCAAGGAACUGAAAAUAUUUUCAAUAGAUAAUAAUCUCUAAGUUGCUCAUCAAAAUGUAAGUGGAUUUUAGUACAUCUUUUUUUUUCUUUUUUUUUGGUGUGUGGCAGCUCGUGUUGUGAGCUAUGUUCUCAUUGAUAGAAACACGUACAUGGUACAAAAAUAAAUUAGCAGAAAUUGAAAUGAAAGGUAGAGGUAAUGAUGGAGUAAACGUGAUAAGAUAUGACAUGACCCCACGAAGAAGAAGAACAAAUGAAAGUUAUAUAUAAAAUCUAAGAGGAAAAAGUACCUAAUAAUAGAA